rnacentral:lncRNA from 1 species
CUGAGUCCCCGUACCAGCCUGUCUCAGCACUUUCAGAGCCAGAGCUUUUUCUCUUCAUAAGCUCUAGGUUUUUUUACAGGCCACUGAGUCUGAGUGGAGCUGUAUCCAGAAUUAUAGAAAGCAGCAGCCACCUGUCACCAGGACAUUGUGCACAGUGGCUGGGGGUGGGGAGCUGAUUGCAGGGCAUUUCUGAGAAGCAGGGCCCUGUGCUUAUCCAUUUGCAAACACGGGAAAUGAUGACAGUGGUUGGAAGCUUUGAAGAGACAGGGGGAAGGGGAAAGAGAGAAGCCAGAAAGAAAAGGAUUGGGGGCUAAAAGAGACCUUGUCCAGAAAAGACUGAUAAAUUCUUCUUUUCAGAUUCCUUGAUCACUGUGCUGGAACAAUGAGACUCACCCUGAAGUGAUUGAUCAGGGGGCACUGCUCUCACAGGGACCCAAGGAGAAGGGAGAAGUCUCAGCCACAGCAACUGUGCUCGUUGUCAAAGGGAAAGCACAGAUGAAAACACGUGGCAUAUCCUUGCCUCUGUGAAAACAUCUGAAGCAUACAAGACAGUGGAAAUGCUGAGUUUUUAUCUGGAUAUCCAUGGAUGCUGCCCAGAGUGUGCACGAGUAUGUCCUAGUCACCAGCCCAAAUACACCUCAAGCCUUUCAUCAAUUCCACAGUGCCAUGCCUCAGCAAAAUCAUACUGA